rnacentral:rRNA from 1 species
AUGCUUCUCAGCCUCACCGCCCACCACCAUGACGCACCUCCACCUCAACGUCCUCUCUGCCCCUUGCCCGUCUCCUCAACCGCCGAGCUCGGCAAGCACGCCGUCGAUGUCGUCCGUCUACGGACGCCUCUCCUGCGUCCUCGUCUAACACCGCAGUUCGAGCACUCCCAUCACCGCCACCUCCCCGUGCUCCUCGUCAUCCCCUCCACUCCUCCCCAUCUCCUUUGUUACCAGCCACCAAAGUACGCCGCCGGCGCCGUCAGUGCCACAACGCCUCUCCUACCUCCACCCUUUAUUGAUCCAGCAGCCAUACUUCCCACUCCCACCACCUCCACUUCCUCAUCGCCGUCUCCUCCGACACUGACAUCUGCAGCUAUUUCUGAAUUUCAGGGUUGUGGCAGCAAGGGCGAGGUGCAUGAUAGUGACACAAAGAUGGGCGAGCACGGGGAAUGUAGGAACAUGCAAGGUGUUGUGCCGCAGUUACUGCUGCAAGGAUGA